UUGAGUUGGUUCACAUAUACAUCAUAAAAUAGGAUCAUGUACAUACCAAGGGAUUAACAUAUACUAUGGUCAAGCACAUCUCUAUCCUCAAUAACAUAGUUACAUAACAUAACUGUUCAAACUUUACAUUACAUUCUUAUCAUAUGUCAUGUCCACAUACUCUAGCUAUUACAUACAUAUGACUUGACUUCACUCUAGCCGACUUCUUGAUCUCUCCUGUACCUGCAACUUUGGGGAUAAGGGGAGUGGGGUGAGCUAAAAGCCCAGUGAGCAGAAACUAAAAACAUUUGUUUUAAUUCCUCCAUUUUUAGGUACAUUAUUAUUCAUUUUUAUUUUUAUUAUCAAAUAACUUUUAUUUUCUUUCUUCUUCUUAUUCAUGCUUUCAUGUAUGCGUCAUAACACAAACAUUUCACAACAAGGAUGAACUUGUCACCAUUUAGCCCCUAUCUUUC
rnacentral:lncRNA from 1 species